GACGAACGCUGGCGGCGUGCCUAAUACAUGCAAGUAGAACGCUGAAGGAGGAGCUUGCUCUUCUGGAUGAGUUGCGAACGGGUGAGUAACGCGUAGGUAACCUGCCUGGUAGCGGGGGAUAACUAUUGGAAACGAUAGCUAAUACCGCAUAAGAGUAGAUGUUGCAUGACAUUUACUUAAAAGGUGCAAUUGCAUCACUACCAGAUGGACCUGCGUUGUAUUAGCUAGUUGGUGGGGUAACGGCUUACCAAGGCGACGAUACAUAGCCGACCUGAGAGGGUGAUCGACCACACUGGGACUGAGACACGGCCCAGACUCCUACGGGAGGCAGCAGUAGGGAAUCUUCGGCAAUGGACGGAAGUCUGACCGAGCAACGCCGCGUGAGUGAAGAAGGUUUUCGGAUCGUAAAGCUCUGUUGUAAGAGAAGAACGAGUGUGAGAGUGGAAAGUUCACACUGUGACGGUAUCUUACCAGAAAGGGACGGCUAACUACGUG
rnacentral:rRNA from 1 species